GGAACCCGGUGCGAGUCCGGGGCGGUCCCGCCACUGUCACCUGCCGUGCGCAGGGAGCCAGAAC
rnacentral:ncRNA from 2 species